UUUUUAGACCUUCCUGGAGGAGCUUGCGAUCUAACCGAUAAUCCACGUUACACCUCACCAACCCUUGAAUAUCAGCCUGUAUACCAUCGUCGUCAGUUUACCUCCCAAGAGAAGUACACAAAAAGGGCCUUCCCCUUAACGCCAGAUCGAGGUGCAGCUUAUAGGUUGGGGAUUAGUGAGCUACAAUACUCUAACAACCUUUAACCUUAAAUAAAACUUUAAAUGGGGCCAUGAAAACCCCCCUGAAACAGGAUUCAGAAGUAAUAAUUACCAGAAAAUAAUUAUGAACAUCAAGCUCUAAAAUGCGC
rnacentral:rRNA from 1 species